UGAGGCGGCUGAAGGGAGUGCACUAGAAUUUCCCUCCACAGGACUCCAGCUGCCCCUCAGACCCUCCUUCUGUGUUCCAAGCUGAGGGACAAGAUCUGCAGCGGAGCCCA
rfam:Tupaia chinensis contig230979, whole genome shotgun sequence.